rnacentral:lncRNA from 1 species
GACACUUCCUACGGCUCCCAUGGGCUCUCAGAAGGCGGAAAAAAGAUGAACGAUGUAAUUCCAUCCCCAGGCUGAAACACAUUAGCGCGUUUGGCAAGUGCUCUAUCAGAGGGCCAUUAGACUGAGGCUCGUGCAUGAGGGGAUAGCAUGCUUUUACUUUCACUCUCUUUGUAAUAAAAAACGAUUUCCCGGUCGGAAUAUUAUCGCUUUUUUACGAGAAAAAUGGCAUAAAAAUUGAUUUUAAACAGCGGUUGACAUGCUUCGAAGUACGGUAAUGGAAUAUUUAGAAAUGUUUUGUCACGAAAUGCGCCAUGCUCGUCACCCUUAUUUACCCUUUCGGAUAGUGUCUUGAACGCACGAACAAAACGCCGCUAUUUGGAUAUAACAAUGGAUUAUUUGGGACCAAACCAACAUUUGUUAUUGAAGUAGAAGUCCUGGGAGUGCAUUCUGACUAAGAACAGCAAAGAGGGAGAGAAACCAAAAGUCCACCAUCGCCUCAUGGGUUUCCCAGUCGCGGCUGGCAUGGGUAUCGUACCAGCAUCUGUAGCAACGCAGUUUGCACUGCAAUGCAGUGUCUUAGACCGCUGCGCCACUCUGUUAGGAAAAUAUGGCCUGUACAACGUGACCGUUUCCACACCCUAAUCACAGUCAGAAGACAGUUGAAGAAACUUGUGUGGACUUAUGGAAAGGCUCGGCCCAGAUCAAAGCUGUCGAGACAUUCAAUGACGUCAUCUUCACAGACUAAUCAACUCUGGCCCUUGAGCAAUUUGCUCAAAAUUGCUACAGAAAAAAGGAAGAAGAUCAAGCAAGCCGAUUCCCAAGCAUCUGCUCAAACUCCAUGUGUGGGGGGCAAUUUCUCGCCAGAGACCAGGCCCAUAUUUGAUUUGAUGGUAUCAUGGCUCGAGAUUUUUUUGAGGAAGAAAUCAUCAAGAGAUAUGCUGGACCCUAUGUCCGAGAGACAAUGACCCAAAACACACUGCCUCCUGGGUUUGCAUUGCAAAUGAGGGCUUUUACCCGCGGUCAUGGAGCUGGGUGGAAGUGCAACUAAAAUGUAGUUUAAAUAAACAUCUGCAUUUUGAAUGUCUUUUUUGUCGUUAUUUUAUUAUCGAAAGCAUAAAGAUGUUGAUGAAGAAAUACUGUACUGCUGUUUUGAGUUAGAAAUGUAACACUUUAGAGUACUUAAGCAUUGAAUAAAAGUUGGGGGAUGUUCACUCCUACAGUAGC